GGAAAUCCCCACUGCAAAUGCACGGCGACUCAGCGGUGAAAGAGGCUUGCAGGAGCCGCGUGGGGAAGCUGCUGCCACAUCUGCUUCGAGUCUUUUGAACUCCAGGGAGCACUGCCAUAAGUCUGCUGCUCGUGAGAACUUCGGCUCUGGCUGCCUCCCAUUACCAAAGAGAGGAGGAGGCCAGACUUCUGGAUCUCACCCAAAUUUCUCUUUUGACCAAUGCUAACCUGGAGCAAAACAGAGAAGGAGAUGCUACAAAGAUACUUUUUAUGGAGCCAAGUUGAUACCUACAGGUGUCAAGAGGAAAACACAGUACAUUUGGGGAUUUAGACACCAGCCGCAGAUAGCGAUCUACGUUCUGCUUACUUCAUCAACAAGGAAUAAAAGUCACAGAUAACUCAGAAAACUAAAAAAGGUGGAAAUAAUGAGCUGUCAGGAAGAAAGGGAAGAGGAGGCAGAAACAGAGGAGACCACUCAGAAUACUAAUUUGGAGAGGAGUCUACAUCAAUGGCCACAACUUAAUUGAUUUAUGGGAAGUUGGAAUGUUCUAAAGACAAAAGGAAACGACAUAACCAGCAAACAAUCCAGGAGGGGGAAACAAUAAAUUGUUUGUGGAAGCUC